CUUCUUUUUCCCCGGAGCUUGCUCCCCGGAAAAAGAAGAGUGGCGAACGGGUGAGUAACACGUGGGUAACCUGCCCAUCAGAAGGGGAUAACACUUGGAAACAGGUGCUAAUACCGUAUAACAAUCGAAACCGCAUGGUUUUGAUUUGAAAGGCGCUUUCGGGUGUCGCUGAUGGAUGGACCCGCGGUGCAUUAGCUAGUUGGUGAGGUAACGGCUCACCAAGGCCACGAUGCAUAGCCGACCUGAGAGGGUGAUCGGCCACAUUGGGACUGAGACACGGCCCAAACUCCUACGGGAGGCAGCAGUAGGGAAUCUUCGGCAAUGGACGAAAGUCUGACCGAGCAACGCCGCGUGAGUGAAGAAGGUUUUCGGAUCGUAAAACUCUGUUGUUAGAGAAGAACAAGGAUGAGAGUAACUGUUCAUCCCUUGACGGUAUCUAACCAGAAAGCCACGGCUAACUACGUGCCAGCAGCCGCGGUAAUACGUAGGUGGCAAGCGUUGUCCGGAUUUAUUGGGCGUAAAGCGAGCGCAGGCGGUUUCUUAAGUCUGAUGUGAAAGCCCCCGGCUCAACCGGGGAGGGUCAUUGGAAACUGGGAGACUUGAGUGCAGAAGAGGAGAGUGGAAUUCCAUGUGUAGCGGUGAAAUGCGUAGAUAUAUGGAGGAACACCAGUGGCGAAGGCGGCUCUCUGGUCUGUAACUGACGCUGAGGCUCGAAAGCGUGGGGAGCAAACAGGAUUAGAUACCCUGGUAGUCCACGCCGUAAACGAUGAGUGCUAAGUGUUGGAGGGUUUCCGCCCUUCAGUGCUGCAGCUAACGCAUUAAGCACUCCGCCUGGGGAGUACGACCGCAAGGUUGAAACUCAAAGGAAUUGACGGGGGCCCGCACAAGCGGUGGAGCAUGUGGUUUAAUUCGAAGCAACGCGAAGAACCUUACCAGGUCUUGACAUCCUUUGACCACUCUAGAGAUAGAGCUUCCCCUUCGGGGGCAAAGUGACAGGUGGUGCAUGGUUGUCGUCAGCUCGUGUCGUGAGAUGUUGGGUUAAGUCCCGCAACGAGCGCAACC
rnacentral:rRNA from 1 species